AACGAACGCUGGCGGCAUGCCUAACACAUGCAAGUCGAACGAAGGCUUCGGCCUUAGUGGCGCACGGGUGCGUAACGCGUGGGAAUCUGCCCUUUGCUUCGGAAUAACAGUUAGAAAUGACUGCUAAUACCGGAUGAUGUCGCAAGACCAAAGAUUUAUCGGCAAAGGAUGAGCCCGCGUAGGAUUAGCUAGUUGGUGGGGUAAAGGCCUACCAAGGCGACGAUCCUUAGCUGGUCUGAGAGGAUGAUCAGCCACACUGGGACUGAGACACGGCCCAGACUCCUACGGGAGGCAGCAGUGGGGAAUAUUGGACAAUGGACGAAAGCCUGAUCCAGCAAUGCCGCGUGAGUGAUGAAGGCCUUAGGGUUGUAAAGCUCUUUUACCCGGGAUGAUAAUGACAGUACCGGGAGAAUAAGCUCCGGCUAACUCCGUG
rnacentral:rRNA from 1 species